rnacentral:rRNA from 1 species
UGGGGAAUUUUGGACAAUGGGCGCAAGCCUGAUCCAGCCAUGCCGCGUGCGGGAAGAAGGCCUUCGGGUUGUAAACCGCUUUUGUCAGGGAAGAAAUCUUCUGAGUUAAUACCUCGGGAGGAUGACGGUACCUGAGGAAUAAGCACCGGCUAACUACGUGCCAGCAGCCGCGGUAAUACGUAGGGUGCAAGCGUUAAUCGGAAUUACUGGGCGUAAAGCGUGCGCAGGCGGUUUUGUAAGACAGAGGUGAAAUCCCCGGGCUCAACCUGGGAACUGCCUUUGUGACUGCAAGGCUUGAGUGCGGCAGAGGGGGAUGGAAUUCCGCGUGUAGCAGUGAAAUGCGUAGAUAUGCGGAGGAACACCGAUGGCGAAGGCAAUCCCCUGGGCCUGCACUGACGCUCAUGCACGAAAGCGUGGGGAGCAAACAGGAUUAGAUACCCUGGUAGUCCACGCCCUAAACGAUGUCAACUGGUUGUUGGGAAGGUUCCUUCUCAGUAACGUAGCUAACGCGUGAAGUUGACCGCCUGGGGAGUACGGCCGCAAGGUUGAAACUCAAAUGAAUUGACGGGGU